CCCCGGUAAACGGCGGCCGUAACUAUAACGGUCCUAAGGUAGCGAAAUUCCUUGUCGGGUAAGUUCCGACCUGCACGAAUGGCGUAAUGAUGGCCAGGCUGUCUCCACCCGAGACUCAGUGAAAUUGAACUCGCUGUGAAGAUGCAGUGUACCCGCGGCAAGACGGAAAGACCCCGUGAACCUUUACUAUAGCUUGACACUGAACAUUGAGCCUUGAUGUGUAGGAUAGGUGGGAGGCUUUGAAGCGUGGACGCCAGUCUGCGUGGAGCCGACCUUGAAAUACCACCCUUUAAUGUUUGAUGUUCUAACGUGGACCCGUAAUCCGGGUUGCGGACAGUGUCUGGUGGGUAGUUUGACUGGGGCGGUCUCCUCCUAAAGAGUAACGGAGGAGCACGAAGGUUGGCUAAUCCUGGUCGGACAUCAGGAGGUUAGUGCAAUGGCAUAAGCCAGCUUGACUGCGAGCGUGACGGCGCGAGCAGGUGCGAAAGCAGGUCAUAGUGAUCCGGUGGUUCUGAAUGGAAGGGCCAUCGCUCAACGGAUAAAAGGUACUCCGGGGAUAACAGGCUGAUACCGCCCAAGAGUUCAUAUCGACGGCGGUGUUUGGCACCUCGAUGUCGGCUCAUCACAUCCUGGGGCUGAAGUAGGUCCCAAGGGUAUGGCUGUUCGCCAUUUAAAGUGGUACGCGAGCUGGGUUUAGAACGUCGUGAGACAGUUCGGUCCCUA
rnacentral:rRNA from 4 species